rnacentral:rRNA from 1 species
CAGCAGCCACGGUAAUACAGAGGGUGCGAGCGUUAAUCGGAUUUACUGGGCGUAAAGCGUGCGUAGGCGGCUUUUUAAGUCGGAUGUAAAAUCCCUGAGCUUAACUUAGGAAUUGCAUUCGAUACUGGGAAGCUAGAGUAUGGGAGAGGAUGGUAGAAUUCCAGGUGUAGCGGUGAAAUGCGUAGAGAUCUGGAGGAAUACCGAUGGCGAAGGCAGCCAUCUGGCCUAAUACUGACGCUGAGGUACGAAAGCAUGGGGAGCAAACAGGAUUAGAUACCCCAGUAGUCCCUGUCUCUUAUAC